GCUGGAAGGAGCCCCUGUGGUGCGCACAACGUUCGGACUGGGGACGGCCAGGGGUGGCUGUUUGUUGUUUCCCAUCGCUGUAGGAGCGCUACGGGUUGUGGCCACAGGGCAGGUCCUUCCUGACACAGGCGGAAAAGCAGCUCUUCCAAGAGAAAUGAGAAUGUAACAGUGGUUGUGAGUGGUUUGGGAGGGGGAGAGUGCAAGGAGGCGGGCGGUACACACUACCAGAGCGCAGCCUGAGGGGCACCACGUGACAUAACGUGUUAUUACACUGUUUGUACGCUUAAAUGAGUUUUAGGUAUUCAGAACUUGUAUUCAUAUUCUCGGAAGUGCUGUGUAUAGCAAUGAUGUUACACAUAGGGUCAUAUGUAUGCAAUGUGUUCUGUGUGUAUGUUUUUGUUACGUUACUCAGAAUUGCUCAUCCUCCUUACUGCUGUGAAGUGCAUCAAGUACUUUGAGUUACGUUGCAAUUUCAUAUUGUAACGACAGCGUGGUUAAUUUACUAAUGUAAUCGUUUGUUAAUUCCCCCUUCCGCUUUCAGUACGUAGGCAGGUUGCCAACUCAAACGUGCCGGCAGCUACUUUACUUUGGAACUGCAAAGCAGCUUUAGUCAUUGCAGCUCAGGAAGUGUUAUUAGUUGCUGUUGUCCAAAAAGUGUAUUUGAAAGCAGGUUUGUGCCUGGCAUGCAGUAAACCAGCUCCACAGCCUCAGGAGAGAUACUGUGUUUAUUCACGCCUGGGUGCUGGGUGGACUGUUCCACAGAUCAAAUGCACCAAUGCUGGCUUUCUUGUUACGUUUAUACACAACAGUUACAAGAUGGUACACUCCCAGUGUUGGUUGUAAUCUGUAUGUAACAUUUGCUGUGUCACUCAUUCUAGUCACUCUUCAUGCUCACAUGAGAGGCCUUCACCUGGGCUAGGGUCUUUCUGACCUGGGGGUGUGAUUUUUAGUAUAAUAAUGAAAGCAGUUCACUUCAGGACAUCUUAAAAGUUGGUUUCAUUGCCAAGUCAGGUAACCGAAUGGUCACUUUGCCAAGCUGUCAAGUAACUCAUCCUUUAGUACUACCAGUCCUGAAUGUUCUCCUUUGAUCCUUCAAACACGACCAGGAUGUAGUUGUGCCAAUGAGAUCCUUGUUGUUUCGAGAAGGUCACUUCAUCCCAGGCCCGAGCUGUGUAACCAUGGCUACCAACGACAGGUACACAGCAUAGCAAGCAAUGUAUCACACCGCUGCCGCUGUCACGGACACGUUUAACCCAGCGGCCAAUCCUGACGUAACCCCGCCGCGCCACUUCCUGCGCCAGCCCCCGCCCCGCGCGGCAUUGUGGGAAGCCGGAAAGGGGUCGCGGGGGAAGAAGAUGGCUGCGCGGGGAAGGGGCAGGGUCGGAGGUGGAGGCCGCGAUGGCAUUGACGGAAAGGUGGAGCGGGAGUCGGGGCGUCCGGAGUCGGAGCUGCUGCUGCACCCGGAGCUGCUCUCGGAGGAGUUCCUGCUGCUCACGCUGGAGCAGAAAAAUAUACUAGUUGAAAAUGAUGUAAAGAUGGAUAAAGAUGGUCUCACUGAUCUCUAUAUUCAACAUGCCAUUCCUCUGCCUCAGCGUGACUUGCCAAAAAGUAGAUGGGGAAAAAUGAUGGAGAAGAAAAGACAGCAAAAUGAGUUUAAAAGUGAGAAUAAAAGUGUUACAAUGGCAGAAGGUUUAAGGAAACGGCCAUUAAUUGUAUUUGACGGCAGUUCAACAAGUACGAGCAUAAAAGUGAAAAAGACAGAAAAUGGAGCUGCUGAUCGCCUAAAACCUCCUCCAGCUGGAAGCACCACCAACACUGUUAGAAGAUUAUCUGUUCCUCCGAAUGCCGCAACGUACAUUUCAGCCUCCAGUUUAUCAGAGGACGCUAAGCUGGGAAUGAGGAAUAAUGAGACUAAGCAGAACAAUAUUUCAAAGACUAACAGCAGUAUGUUGGCUAGUCUGAAGGUGUACCCCUUGUCUCCAGUAGCAGGAACUACUGUUGUGAAGUUAAAGAGAGCUGUUCCAAAAGAAGAAUCUGAUUUGCCGGAAUUGGCAAGCUAGAGAAAGGAACUGGAUAUGAAUAUCUGGAGAGCUGCCUGGACUGUGGGUCUAAAUGAGAAGCUGUAACAACAAGCUGUACUAACUGAAGUGAGAGGCUAAAUGUUGAGUUCUCAUUUUGAGCCAUGGUGGUCUUAAUCAGGUAUCUGGGCUUCUGUAAGAUGAUGAGAAAGACAAGCUGAGGUCUUGAGCAGACUAGUGCUGUUCUCAAGUAGAAGGCUGAUGAGUGAGCUGUUAACCAUGAAGAGUGACCUAAAGCCUACGGAAGCAAAGAAGAAAAUCCAGCAUGUUACAUGGCCAUGAAGUAGCUAAUGGUGCUUGAAAUAUAAGUAUUACUUCCAUAUUUUCAAACAGAUAAGUUGUAUUUAAACAGUUGAAGUACAAUUCUUUUUAAACCUUACAGGGAUUCAGAUUGCUGUGAAGUUUUAAUGACUUUAAAAGUUCCCUGUUGUAACGCUGGGGUCAUUAUCACCAGUCACCUUAAAAGUGUCUACUUAUGUACAGCAAGUAGCUCAGUAUUUCUUUAAAAGGUGGUAAUAUUACAAUGUUCUACUACCAGCCCCCCCCCCCUUUUUUUUUUUUUUUUGGUUUUGAAGAUUGUUAUAGUUCAUCUCUGGCAUGUCAUUCCAAUUCACACCUAGAAAUACAUUAUUUUUGUUUCAGUAAGAUUCAGUUUUGUUCCACUUAUGGUCAAAUAGUUAAAAUAGCUAUUGAAAUUCAGAAUCAUCCCAAGAGCCUUCUUGACAGUAAAAAGAUAACUCAUUUAGAUGAGAAAACUGACCAUUCUGCUGGUAAGAUAAUCGGAGACAAAAUGUUUUCCUUUAUGUUGGACAGGAGUGUAGAAUUUACAGUGCAAGUUAGAUUGGUAAUAAGAGAUGAACUAUUUUAACAGCAUUACUUCAAAUUGAAGUUUCUCUUAUUGACAUAUGAAAUAAGACAUACACGGAUGGGAGUAUGCUACUAGGCUGUUUGAUAUGGAUCUUUGAGAGGAAGUAGUGAAUGGAUUAGUGCCAUUUUCUCUUGAAUACACAGGCAUAUUUUAUACAUGCUUAAGUGCAAAAAUGUGUCGAUGUAGCAAAUUUGCUGUUCUCCUGAUUACAGUCAUGCUUAUAAAAUGUGGGGAAAACAUGUGGAAUGCAGGCCAGUGCUUUCUCAACUUAAUUGGAAAGGGACAGGAGUAGGAAGACAAAGUAAUACUUUGAGAGUGUUAGCGUAUGUAGGUGCAUUCUUAAAAAAUAAAUAAAUAAAAAUUGGUAACCUCUUUUCCCUUCUUUUGAUCAUUUAAGAUGGGUGUUGGUUUUCUGUGAAACUUGGUGUUUCAUCUGCAUUGUUGGUAGUGCCUUAUAAGGCAGAAAUCCCGUUAAGUUCAUAGAAAUAUUAUUACUAAAACUCAGUGGCACAGGGUGAAGCCAAUUUAGAUCCAUUUUAGAUAUGUAUGGUAAAUAAUAACAGCAACACUCCUGGACUUAGUAAAACAGAAAAAGAAUCAACUUCUGAAUCUGCUUAGUUAACCCACUAAGAGAAGCUCUCAGUAGUGAUCUGAAAGAUGUUUACAUUUGUAAUAUUGGUUAAUGUUGAAACCAAAACCUGUAGCUUAAUUCAUUACUGACAGAAGUUCUCCAUUCACUGUUACAACAUAAAAGGCACUUCUCGAAUGCUGUAAAAUGGUAAGAAUGUGUGUUUUGAAAUAGUGUGCUGUUUUCCUUUUACUAAACUCUUGUCCAGGUUUUGUACUUGAGUAUAGCAAACUUUAACGUAAUGUACAUUUUGUAUGUAAAGAGUUGUCUUUUAAGUAACCUUAUCCUAUUUAAAUAAAUUCAGUUAAAAGCAAACAAA